UACUCAUAAAAUUAUAGCUCUUCUCACCAUAAAUCCUUUCCAUAAAGUACUAUAUCAGUUCAUGACCUACAGAAGGGUUUAGUAAACACACCUUGGUAGGAGAGCCGAUGAUUGUUGGUAAAGGAGUUUUGAAGAACCAGUCAGAACUCCGUGGAGAGGAUCCUGUGUGCUUGGUGGGAGAGGUUCCGAGGCUGCCAGGCCGACUGGGCUGAGGAGAAGUGGAAAGAUCUGUGACAAAGCAGCCACCACACUCCUACUGGAGCUGGAAGCCUUGUGGUGAACAGGACCCAGCGCUGCUAUGUCCCAGUCCUCACAGACUGGAAUGAAUGUGGGUGUGUUUGCUGGAGCUCCAAGCAGAUACCUUGAAACCACAAAGAAGAGGCCGAGAGAACGGAAGACACUUAACUUCCUUGAGCCACAGAAACAAAGGCAACAACUGUUUAUCCUGACUUCUUUUGAUGCAAGAAAACCUUUUGAGUUCAAGCACACUACACUCAGGACCCUGCUGUUCAUAGCCAAGUGGAAUUCCUACAUGAUAAGCCAUUUAGUAUGCUUCUAUAUGCACUCUCUCUUUCAUUUAGGUAUUUCCAAUAAGUAUCUUUGAAAUACAACAAUUUAUGUUUUUAGUUUCUUUACAUCUGAUUCUUACAUUUAUCUGCAUCCUGAAACAGAAAAAAAAAAAAAAUACAACAAACAAAAAACUAAACCCUCUCCCACUCAAAACUAAAACUGGAGCUUCACCAGACUUCACUAGUCAGCUCUGGUGCCUGCGAGCCAGCACACUCACAGACCUGACGGCCUACGCUCCUUAAUGAUAGAACAACUAGCACAGCCAUCGAGCGUCAGACUGCGAAUGAACAAAUGCCAUCUUUCUACCAUUUCAAUUUAAAGAGGAAAUAGAAUAGCUGAAGCUCUCAGCCCCUGAUGAAGUACAUCAGGGAAUUUUUUAAAAAAUUUACACUUUGUCAAGUUCUAAUAUUUUUCCCGUACUUAUUAAUCUCAAGCUAGAUAAAGGAGUCCUAAGAAAUAAAAUUAACAACCUUAUAAUUUGAAGCAACCUUAUAAUUUGGCUUCUCUGAUGACUCUGGUUCCUCCUCCUACCAGCACCUCAGGAGACGAACAGCCAUGCCUGGUGUUCUGUAAACGCUGUCUCAGACAGUCUCUGGACAGGACCUGCAAGCAGGCUUGCUCAGAAUCUGGAAAGUCUUCUCUGGACAAAUUCCUUGAUCUCCAGCUAGCUAAGACCACUGCAGUCAUUUUUGUCUAGCUUUAUAUUAACAUCAAUAUUUAACUGUCACCUGAGUCUCUGAGCCCAAGGUGAGGAGAGGGAAAGCCUGUGCAUGUCCUGAGUCUCCAGCACAUCUUCCUCAACUCCACUAGGUCCUGCAGCUCAGAGGGUUCUCUGUGUUCUCUGUGAUCAUCUUUCACCCGCAUGGAACACUAGGAAGACUGAACAGUCUGACCACACAGCAGCACUAUCACAUCAUUCUACCCACCCCCACAAAGGCUGAGAGGAAAACACAAAUGCAAAAGGACAAAUGAAAGACUAGGUGAUGGCGUAACAACUUUUUCAAAUUUACAAUCUUUAUACCAAAAGAUCCUCAGUUGCCUCUUUGUCUUAGGAAGAACUCCAUGAGUAAAUCCUGAGAGGCUAACAAGUAAUCUGGAUAGCCAGGGAUACAGCUAGAAUGUAAUGCCUGGAGACAGAUGGGGGGAAGAGGGAAAGAUCUCUGCAUGAAAGAGUUCCCAUGAAGCUCAAUCCGCACCCAAAUGUUGAGCCAUAGCUGUAAGCUCAUAGCGCUGUAUAAAUGAAGGAGAAACAGGUAGGGAUAAGCUGUUAGUUACCCAGAGGCCAGAGCAGCAACAAAGAAAUAAGGGCCUAACCUGGCAUACAGGCCCACAGCUGCAGAUAGAAAGCUGGUGAAGGAUCCAUCGAGAAUGGGGUUAGUGUCUGUGGAGGGAGCUGUUAGAAGAGCAGGAAUCCACUCGGAGAUGACACGCCCUACUGCCUCAUGCGCUGUGUAUGCAGUCAGCCUCCAUCAAUGGCUGUAGGAACCACUCUUCAGAAUUCUGAUAUCAUAACUCCCACACCUGUCUACUUUUUGUCUGGGUGCACAAGGAAUGUACUGAAGACUAGCAUGUAGGUUAUAUAGGAACUAUUAUUAAGAAGUGUUUCUUUAGGUGAAAAUGUACUCAUCAGCAAAGGAAAGAAAAGUGAAGGGCAGCAAAUCAAAACAAGUGAAAACCUGUAAAUAUACAAUUCCCAUAUUUGAAUUACCGUAUUCUCAAUGAAAGGCAGCAAACAAGUUUGUACAAGAUCUGCUUAUCCCCCAUGGUUCCCAAAUUGUGCACCGAGGGACCCCAAGGUACCACUGUUACUCAAAGGGCACCCUGAAGUACAUUAAAUUUAUUUUUCAUUA